rnacentral:rRNA from 1 species
AAUGAACGCUGGCGGCGCGCCUAAUACAUGCAAGUCGAGCGAGAAGACGUAGCAAUACGUUUGUAAAGCGGCGAACGGGUGAGGAAUACAUGGGUAACCUACCCUAGAGUGGGGAAUAACUAGCCGAAAGGUUAGCUAAUACCGCGUACGCUCCUUGGACUUCGGUUCAGGGAGGAAAGCGAUGCCGAGGGUAUCGCGCUCUUGGAUGGGCUCAUGUCCUAUCAGCUUGNGGUGAGGUAACGGCUCACCAAGGCUUCGACGGGUAGCUGGUCUGAGAGGGACGAUCAGCCACACUGGCACUGCGACACGGGCCAGACUCCGUACGGGA